rnacentral:rRNA from 1 species
UACGUAGGUGACAAGCGUUGUCCGGAUUUACUGGGCGUAAAGAGCGCGCAGGCGGUCGAUCAAGUCGAGUGUGAAAGCCCCCGGCUCAACUGGGGAGGGUCAUUCGAUACUGAUCGACUCGAAGGCAGGAGAGGGUAGUGGAAUUCCCGGUGUAGUGGUGAAAUGCGCAGAUAUCAGGAGGAACACCGGUGGCGAAGGCGGGUCUCUGGGCCGAUACUGACGCUGAGGAGCGAAAGCGUGGGGAGCGAACAGG